AUUUAAAUAAUUUAAUAAAAAUAUUGAUUUGUGGAGUCAAAAAUAUGAGAAGAAGUCAUUUUAAAUU
rnacentral:tRNA from 1 species